CGUGCAGGCGGUCUAGCAAGUUGGAUGUGAAAGCUCCCGGCUUAACCGGGAGAGGUCGUUCAAUACUGUUAGACUAGAGAAUGGGAGAGGGAGGUGGAAUUCUGGGUGUAGUGGUGAAAUGCGUAGAUAUCCAGAGGAACACCAGUGGCGAAAGCGGCCUCCUGGACCAUUUCUGACGCUAAGACGCGAAAGCUAGGGUAGCAAACG
rnacentral:rRNA from 1 species